UGGGGAAUAUUGGACAAUGGGCGAAAGCCUGAUCCAGCCAUGCCGCGUGUGUGAAGAAGGUCUUCGGAUUGUAAAGCACUUUAAGUUGGGAGGAAGGGUUGUAACCUAAUACGUUGCAAUCUUGACGUUACCGACAGAAUAAGCACCGGCUAACUCUGUGCCAGCAGCCGCGGUAAUACAGAGGGUGCAAGCGUUAAUCGGAAUUACUGGGCGUAAAGCGCGCGUAGGUGGUUCGUUAAGUUGGAUGUGAAAUCCCCGGGCUCAACCUGGGAACUGCAUUCAAAACUGACGAGCUAGAGUAUGGUAGAGGGUGGUGGAAUUUCCUGUGUAGCGGUGAAAUGCGUAGAUAUAGGAAGGAACACCAGUGGCGAAGGCGACCACCUGGACUGAUACUGACACUGAGGUGCGAAAGCGUGGGGAGCAAACA
rnacentral:rRNA from 1 species